UUAAGCGACUAAGCGUACACGGUGGAUGCCCUGGCAGUCAGAGGCGAUGAAGGACGUGCUAAUCUGCGAAAAGCGUCGGUAAGGUGAUAUGAACCGUUAUAACCGGCGAUGUCCGAAUGGGGAAACCCAGUGCAAUUCGUUGCACUAUCGUUAACUGAAUACAUAGGUUAACGAGGCGAACCGGGGGAACUGAAACAUCUAAGUACCCCGAGGAAAAGAAAUCAACCGAGAUUCCCCCAGUAGCGGCGAGCGAACGGGGAGCAGCCCAGAGUCUGAAUCAGCUUGUGUGUUAGUGGAACGGUCUGGAAAGUCCGACGGUACAGGGUGAUAGUCCCGUACACCAAAAUGCACAGGCUGUGAACUCGAAGAGUAGGGCGGGACACGUGGUAUCCUGUCUGAAUAUGGGGGGACCAUCCUCCAAGGCUAAAUACUCCUGACUGACCGAUAGUGAACCAGUACCGUGAGGGAAAGGCGAAAAGAACCCCGGCGAGGGGAGUGAAAAAGAACCUGAAACCGUGUACGUACAAGCAGUGGGAGCACCUUCGGGUGUGACUGCGUACCUUUUGUAUAAUGGGUCAGCGACUUAUAUUCUGUAGCAAGGUUAACCGUAUAGGGGAGCCGCAGGGAAACCGAGUCUUAACUGGGCGUUAAGUUGCAGGGUAUAGACCCGAAACCCGGUGAUCUAGCCAUGGGCAGGUUGAAGGUUGGGUAACACUAACUGGAGGACCGAACCGACUAAUGUUGAAAAAUUAGCGGAUGACUUGUGGCUGGGGGUGAAAGGCCAAUCAAACCGGGAGAUAGCUGGUUCUCCCCGAAAGCUAUUUAGGUAGCGCCUCGUGAACUCAUCUUCGGGGGUAGAGCACUGUUUCGGCUAGGGGGUCAUCCCGACUUACCAACCCGAUGCAAACUACGAAUACCGAAGAAUGUUAUCACGGGAGACACACGGCGGGUGCUAACGUCCGUCGUGAAGAGGGAAACAACCCAGACCGCCAGCUAAGGUCCCAAAGUCAUGGUUAAGUGGGAAACGAUGUGGGAAGGCACAGACAGCCAGGAUGUUGGCUUAGAAGCAGCCAUCAUUUAAAGAAAGCGUAAUAGCUCACUGGUCGAGUCGGCCUGCGCGGAAGAUGUAACGGGGCUAAACCAUGCACCGAAGCUGCGGCAGCGACACUAUGUGUUGUUGGGUAGGGGAGCGUUCUGUAAGCCUGCGAAGGUGUGCUGUGAGGCAUGCUGGAGGUAUCAGAAGUGCGAAUGCUGACAUAAGUAACGAUAAAGCGGGUGAAAAGCCCGCUCGCCGGAAGACCAAGGGUUCCUGUCCAACGUUAAUCGGGGCAGGGUGAGUCGACCCCUAAGGCGAGGCCGAAAGGCGUAGUCGAUGGGAAACAGGUUAAUAUUCCUGUACUUGGUGUUACUGCGAAGGGGGGACGGAGAAGGCUAUGUUAGCCGGGCGACGGUUGUCCCGGUUUAAGCAUGUAGGCUGAUUGUCCAGGCAAAUCCGGAUAAUCAAGGCUGAGGUGUGAUGACGAGGCACUACGGUGCUGAAGUAACAAAUGCCCUGCUUCCAGGAAAAGCCUCUAAGCAUCAGGUAACAUUAAAUCGUACCCCAAACCGACACAGGUGGUCAGGUAGAGAAUACCAAGGCGCUUGAGAGAACUCGGGUGAAGGAACUAGGCAAAAUGGUGCCGUAACUUCGGGAGAAGGCACGCUGGUGUGUAGGUGAAGUCCCUGCGGAUGGAGCUGAGACCAGUCGAAGAUACCAGCUGGCUGCAACUGUUUAUUAAAAACACAGCACUGUGCAAACACGAAAGUGGACGUAUACGGUGUGACGCCUGCCCGGUGCCGGAAGGUUAAUUGAUGGGGUUAUCCGUAAGGAGAAGCUCUUGAUCGAAGCCCCGGUAAACGGCGGCCGUAACUAUAACGGUCCUAAGGUAGCGAAAUUCCUUGUCGGGUAAGUUCCGACCUGCACGAAUGGCGUAAUGAUGGCCAGGCUGUCUCCACCCGAGACUCAGUGAAAUUGAACUCGCUGUGAAGAUGCAGUGUACCCGCGGCAAGACGGAAAGACCCCGUGAACCUUUACUAUAGCUUGACACUGAACAUUGAGCCUUGAUGUGUAGGAUAGGUGGGAGGCUUUGAAGCGUGGACGCCAGUCUGCGUGGAGCCAACCUUGAAAUACCACCCUUUAAUGUUUGAUGUUCUAACGUUGGCCCCUGACCGGGGUUGCGGACAGUGUCUGGUGGGUAGUUUGACUGGGGCGGUCUCCUCCCAAAGCGUAACGGAGGAGCACGAAGGUUAGCUAAUCCUGGUCGGACAUCAGGAGGUUAGUGCAAUGGCAUAAGCUAGCUUGACUGCGAGCGUGACGGCGCGAGCAGGUGCGAAAGCAGGUCAUAGUGAUCCGGUGGUUCUGAAUGGAAGGGCCAUCGCUCAACGGAUAAAAGGUACUCCGGGGAUAACAGGCUGAUACCGCCCAAGAGUUCAUAUCGACGGCGGUGUUUGGCACCUCGAUGUCGGCUCAUCACAUCCUGGGGCUGAAGUAGGUCCCAAGGGUAUGGCUGUUCGCCAUUUAAAGUGGUACGCGAGCUGGGUUUAGAACGUCGUGAGACAGUUCGGUCCCUAUCUGCCGUGGGCGCUGGAGAAUUGAGGGGGGCUGCUCCUAGUACGAGAGGACCGGAGUGGACGCAUCACUGGUGUUCGGGUUGUCAUGCCAAUGGCACUGCCCGGUAGCUAAAUGCGGAAGAGAUAAGUGCUGAAAGCAUCUAAGCACGAAACUUGCCCCGAGAUGAGUUCUCCCUGAGACUAUAAGUCUCCUGAAGGAACGUUAAAGACGAUGACGUUGAUAGGCCGGGUGUGUAAGCGCAGCGAUGCGUUGAGCUAACCGGUACUAAUGAACCGUGAGGCUUAACCUU
rnacentral:rRNA from 1 species